ACCUAGAUUCAGCUCUAGAUUACUGUGUGCUUUGGCCUCUGCCUCCCAUCACUGCACCAGGAGUCUGAUUUUGUUGCACAAGCUAACUUGCUUACUGCUCUGACCCAUUUUACCAUAGCAACCUGGUUUGCUGUACCAGAGGCUAGAAAAAGCGCACAGGCGACUUUUUCAGGAUUCCAAGAUUAAAUUCACUCUCUGCUCUUUUUUUUUUUUUUUUCCCUUCACUGCCCUCCUUCCCCCCCAAGAAUGUGCUUAGCAGACAUGACGAAGAAGAACUAAUGCUUUCCAACAGCACUGGAAGCCAAGAAAAGAUUUAGGCGAGGCUCUAAUGUUCCUAAUCAUGGGGAUUAUUAGACUGUUUGCAAGAUGAAGAACCAUCAGAGGUGCAAUUUGCCAAAAGUGGGGUUUAAAGAAAGAAAUGUUACCAGCUGAACAAGGGAUAUUCCAGCCCCUAUGACCUCAUGGUCCGUAUAUCAAGUAGAGGGAAGAAGGAAGAAAGAAAUAUUUGGAGUGAUGGUGCAACAACAAGAGGGGUACUUUGAAUGAUGCAUCACACUGAUUAAAAGAAGAAUGGACUGGGCUUCUUAAAGGCAAGAGACAGAGGAUACAGAAGGCAACUGAAGUGAAAAGAAGAAUGGCAGAACUGAACCAGGAUAUGUGCUCCACAGAGGAAGCAAGGAUCUUGUUUUUGCUGGAGCCAAGUUGGCGUUGAUGAAGGAAAUGCAACUGAAUUUAAGAGUUCAAGAAUGUCUGCUCACAGAUUUUGUGGUUAUGCAUACCUUUCCAGAUUCAACACCACUGAGUGUACUGCUAAAUACUGAAUGCCUGUGAAAAAUGAGUCUUGACAUCAGAUUAGGAAGAAGAUUCCCUUUUCACAGUGUUGUGCCAUAUUAUUCAUAGGGUUGUGAACUAACAGCAUAAUGGGCUUUAAAGUUCAUCUUUUGUGCUGUAGGAAAUUAUCUAUGGUCAAACAAAUUCUUCUGAUUUUACAAGUGAAUGAUAUUAUACCAUUUGAAGCUUUUCAGAUAUUGUGAUAUGAGCCUUGUAAGCAAAUUCUUAUAGAGAAAAAAAUAACAAUAAUAUUAAUUUUUAAUAGAUCUGUACAUGUAGCAUAAUAAGCAGCCUAGUCAAAUAAGACCAAUAUCGAAGAUAUUACUCCUGUAAAGAAGAUGAAGCUGUGCUACAUGAAAAGUGACAUAAAUUUAGUGUCAUAGUUAUAGUUCUGUCCAGUGCUUUCUUGUAGGGGAAAUAUUUGCAAAAAAAGCUAAAUAUUAAUAUGUGACAGAAAUACAAGAACAUUAACAUGCAAAUUAUAUUCAUAUGCUUUUAGUCAAAGGUUCCAACAUUUUGUGACAAUACGAUUUAACUGCUUUGGAUAUUUUUCCCCAUCACACCAUCUUUAGAGUUUUCAAAUUCAAGCAGAUAUAUAAUUGUGGUACUUAAAAAUGCAUGAAGUUGUUUACCAUAAGUAGACAUUUUGUUUUUACUAAAGCUUAUAUGCACAUUAGCGAGUUGCAAUCCUCUCCAAAUGGGUGUAACAGAGAGCUGAACACUGGCAUCUGUGCCACACAAUUUUGCAGUGGGAGUUACUUAAAUUUAGCUGUGUCUAAUCCUGUGGAUCAAUUUUCAUUGUAAUUUACAAAACAGGAGAGAAAAUCCUGAAGAAAACCUUUUGUGUCAGCUUCAUCCAACCCCAAAUUUAGUUCAGGUACUCAGAGUCUGCUGUGAUACAAACAAAACUAUUCAUUGUAGCUCAGGAUGCACAAGCUGUGCCUUUAAAAAAUGCACCAACAUGCUGAUGUAGAUUGAUCCUGUUUUACUGAGUAUUAGAAAAUUUGUUUCACAUGAUACAAGAGGCAAAGAAGUUUAAUUUCUGUCAGUGAAAUUCUUAAAGCUCAGAUAAGAAGAUUCCAUCCUACUGUAGGUGUAACAAAACUGUCAUGCAUACAGGGCACGUAAGACAAGUUCCAGAUAAUAGUAUUGAUGGCUGCAGUCCCAGGACAGCUAGGCAUGCCUUCCAAAGGUGAAGAUGUGCCAUGCUCUGAAUAAUCUGGUCUCAUUUACAGUGUUCUGGUUUGUUCUUCUUGGUAAUUACUGUGAGGCCAGAGGUCUGGUCUCUAGAGAUGACUGCAGUUUAAUGAUGUUUGGUUGCCAGAGAGUUAUCUUAAAAACUCUACUUAGCUCAGAAAAGGAUAUAAAAAGAUGAUUUUUUUCCCCUACUUCGUUGAAAAGAAAUCAUAGAGUAAUUUAUGUUUGAAUGGAUCUCAGGAAGUCAUCUGGACUAGACCCUGUUCAAAGCAGGACUAACUUCAACCAUCUUCAGUGAGAACUAGCACAUGCAAUCAUAUGGCUUCCUCCAGUAGCUCAAAUAAGUAUUUUCCCAUUUACUUGUCUUUACUGAGCUCUCUAUAGCAGAUGCCGACCCUCAUAUCCACUUGUUGACCUUGCCUCUGAUCCCAGCUCAUGAGCUUGUCCUCUGUCCCUCAGCCAUUCCAUAGUUUUGCCAUUUCAAAUAACUUCUCUGUUCAUGUUUCAUGAUUUUCCUAGUGUCAUUUUACAUUUCUUAUGAAACAUUUUGUCUCCAGCUCUUUACUACUGCAGGCACAGUUAAUAAUAGCAAAAGGCAAAGAGCUUCUGACUGUGUGCUGGAGAUGCACUUAAGUCAAGUCAUUACCCCCUUUUUCUGCUAUGCUCAGAGAGUAAAAAACAGGAGACAUUGAAAUUAUCAGCAGAGAAGAAAAAAUAUUAGAAAACAUAAAAUCUCAAUGUAUAUAUAUAAUUAGAAUGCAAUAUAUAACUUUCCAUUUUUUUCUAGAAAUAAAGUUUGCUUGUUGCUGUAUGCUUGUGGAAUUAUUUGAA